GCAAGUAACAGAAGACCUGUCCUGACCUCCAUGGUGUCCUUUUUAGUAUUUGAUGCUAAAACCAACAUCACAAUGCCUACGCCAAAGAGCAGCUGGAAACCGUGACUCUGAAGUCUCCUUCCCUCCUGAACUCUAUCAGUUUGAAUUUGGCUUAUAUUAUGUAUGAGGUCUCUUCAUCUCAGCUGCAUCACAGGCUUCCCUGAAGCCAGCGCUGUGCACCGUGACUCCGUGCGCCCUGUCCUCGCCGCGCUGGCCAAGCACUUGUUGGUCGGUUGGUGGCUGCUUGAUGAUUGCUGGGACUAUUUUUCCUUUCAGUUUAAAAAAAUGUAAUAGCAAAUAUAUAAAUCUGUCCGAAGACUCAACUUUUUUGGAUGUUUGGAAGAAGGGAUUUGGGAAUGAUUGACAUUGUUUAAGUACGUUCAUAACCACAAAGCACACCUACUGCAAAAAACAGACAAUGCCAUUCUAUGGCUUAGGACUCGUUCGGCCAAUGAGAGAAAACCAGGUCCAAACUGGCUUAAUCAACAGUGGAAUUUAUUGGUUGAACUAAUUGAAAAGCCCAGGAGGAGAGUGAGCUUCAAGUGCAGCUCAGAGCAGAAGCUUGAUCUAUACCAGCAGAACCUGGCUUUUCUCAGUCUCUCCCUCAGCUCCUUCCUUCCUGCUUGAAGACCUGUGGGAAAGGUUACCUGCCUCUUAAUCAGAAGCCUCAGCAAACACCCUGUCACAUCCUGUUGGCUCUAGUCGCAACACCUGCCUGGACCCAUCCCUGUAGACAAUGGAAUGUGAUUUUCUGAUUGGUUUAGAGCUGGGUCAUGUGCUCUACUCUUGAGUCAUAGGGUUGAGAAUGGAAAGAACAGAUUCUCUAAGAGAAAUCAGGGUUCAGUUACCAAAACAAAGUGGCAUGGAUGCUGGGUGGACAACCUCAGAUGUCCUCUGCCCCUGGAACCUACUUCACUGGGACAAGUCUUAAGAGAAUAGGAUACCCAUCCUCCUGUUCAUGGCCAACCUAUCUACCAGUUGUCUUGGCUCUGUCCAUAUAGUCCAGGAUCUAACUUCAUCAGUCAUGAUUAAUAUUUCAUGUAU